GAUCAACGCUGGCGGCGUGCCUAAUGCAUGCAAGUCGCACGGGCAACUUUCGGGUUGUCAGUGGCGAACGGCUGAGGAACACGUACGAAUCUGCCCUCCGGUGGGGAAUAACGCACCGAAAGGUGUGCUAAUACCGCGUACGCGCGCAAGCGGAAAGCCGCAAGGCGCCGGGGGAGGAGCGUGCGGCCCAUCAGAUAGUUGGCGGGGUAACGGCCCACCAAGUCGGUGACGGGUCGCGGUCUGUGAGGACGAUCAGCCAGACUGGGACUGCGACACGGCCCAGACACCUACGGGUGGCAGCAGCAAGGGAUCUUCGGCACUGGGCGCAAGCCUGACCGAGCAACGCCGCGUGCAGGAUGACGGCC
rnacentral:rRNA from 1 species